GCAUCUAGGGCACACAUCUAACAAACUCCCACUUGACCUAAUGCCAAUUGGCUACAUAUCUAAGUCCCAUCUUCUCAAUAUGGGCUUCGAUCUUCUGUUGGCCCAAUGGCUUAGUCAGCAGGUCUGCCACAUUAUCUGUGGAGUUGACUCUCUUGACCUCGACAUAAUCCUUUUCGAGGUAAUCAUGGAUCAAAUGGAAUCACCGCUCGAUGUGCUUAGACUUCUGGUGAGACCUUG
rnacentral:lncRNA from 1 species